AUGCGGGACAACCAGGGGGAGGCCACCCGCGCCAAGAUUGCCGGCGAAGAGACCACUGGGGAGGCUGUCGUCGCCGCUGGUGGAGGCCGUCAGCGCCGCCAGGGGCUGGAUCUAGGUGGGAGGAGGGUGAGGGAGCGAUGGGGAAGAGGAAAACGGCCCCGCCGCCACCAUCCCGGGGCCCGGCGCGGCUUCGCCGGCCGGCCCUCCGGCGGCAGCGACGCCGGGGUGGACGGGAGGUGGAGGGCUCGGCCGGCGGCGGCUAUGGUUCCCCCGAGUCGCCCGGCUCGGGCGACGCGAGGGACGGGGGUUCAUCAUUUGAAGCUUGCAAGAAGAUAUUUUAGGUUGUUUAUUAUUACUUGA
rnacentral:rRNA from 1 species